rnacentral:rRNA from 1 species
UAGCCAUGCGAGUCAAGCGCCCCAGGGACCCGCUGGGGUGCGGCGCACGGCUCAGUAACACGUGGCUAACCUACCCUCGGGAGGGGGAUAACCCCGGGAAACUGGGGCUAAUCCCCCAUAGGGGAAGGGUGCUGGAAGGCCCCCUCCCCGAAAGGAGCCACGUCCGGCACCCGGCGUGACUCGCCCGAGGAUGGGGCUACGGCCCAUCAUGGUAGCUGGCGGGGUAACGGCCCGCCAGGCCGAAGACGGGUGGGGGCCGUGAGAGCGGGAGCCCCGAGAUGGGCACUGAGACAAGGGCCCAGGCCCUAUGGGGUGCAGCAGGCUCGAAUACUCCGCAAUGCGGUAACCCGCGACGGGGCCACCCCGAGUGCCGUCCGAUGAGGACGGCUUUUCCCCCGUGUAAGGAGCGGGGGGAAUAAGCGGGGGGCAAGUCUGGUGUCAGCCGCCGCGGUAAUACCGGCUCCGCGAGUGGUCGGGGUGUUUACUGGGCCUAAAGCGCCCGUAGCCGGCCCGGUAAGUCACCCCUGAAAUCCACGGGCUCAACCCGUGGGCUGGGGGUGAUACUGCCGGGCUUGGGGGUGGGAGAGGCCGAGGGUACUCCCGGGGUAGGGGCGAAAUCCGAUAAUCCCGGGAGGACCACCAGUGGCGGAAGCGCUCGGCUGGAACACGCCCGACGGUGA